GGAUUCUGGUCAUACAGGAGUUUAUGGGCAUGAUGUAGUAGAUCUAGUAAAACACAAAGAGCAGAGACAAAUAAUAUUGUGGAUUUACAGGUGCAGUUGUUCAGAGGGUAAAUUAAAACAUUGAUUCGGAAAAAUGGGUUAGAUUGCUGACAGAAUGGGAUGAAAUUAGUAAGGUCAGACAUGUUUAUAGUACAAGGAAAUCUGUACGGUAGAUAGUGUCAUAUAAUGGGAACAGAAGGGAAGAGGUUAUGCUGUGUAGGAUGAUAUUAGGGCAUACGGGAUUGUAUUCCUCUUCAAAUUUGAUAGGGAAACAUGGUACUGGAAUGUGUAAUGGAUGCAUGCUAGAGGAAACGGUGAACAUUUAUUAUUAUUUUGUGAAACGUGUGAUGUAGAAAGGGAGAGGUUGUUUGAUAGGGUCAGAGAUGUUGGACGGGAAUGGGGAGUGGGUGGUAUUUUGGGUGUGGGUGAUGGGAGUAGUGAGGUUAGUUUAGAGAAUAUAUUGGUAUAGAUAGGGCGUGACUGGCCUCACACUCCAGUGCAGUAGGUAGCGGUGUAAGCACCUGUCAGUUGGUUGCCAUUCGCCAAUAUAACUUAAAGAAAUAGAGGAAGAAGGAGGAGGUAACGAUCGUCCCAGUGCAUUUCGAGAGAAACGAAAGUGGAAGGUAGUCAGCAGCAUCGCCAUAGACUUUGCUGCGUUCACUCUGAAAUGUCCGAGUUGCUAACUGGUUAUAGUUAUACACGAGCCCGCGGAAAUGUACGAGUUUCCUAGUUCUGAUUAGCACUUGAACGCGGCAUCAGUCUAUACGUGACGCUGACAACUUUUCACUUUCGGUUUUCUCCAAAUGCAUAGUACCACCAUACCUCAGUGGUGACGACCGUAUUUUCAACAAACCGACAACCCGAUAUAGUAUAGUCAUGGAGGGAACAUCCGUGGAGGUUCUUGGCGUUCCCGACGAUAUCCUUGCCACUGUUAGAAUGGUCGACAAGCUCACAAUACACUUCCAACGACCAAGGAACGGGGGAGGAGAGGUGAAGAGAGUACAGUUUCCAGCCUACAGCCCAGGACAGGCCUUUGUCAUAUUUGAGGAACCAGAAGUGGCUGCUCGUGUUUUGCAGGAGACCCAUGUCUUAGAAGUGGAUGGACAACACUUUCCUCUUAAAAUCAGGAAAGCUGACAGGCCUGAGGUGGACAUGCCAGUCAAGGCCAAUCUGGAUGUGAGCAUGUUCUCCAUUGACAGCGAGAAGGCGCUCCAGCCUGUGAACGAGAUUCCCCAUGGUCAGCUACCCAUUCAGGGCUCCUUCCAACUGCAGCAGGUCUUACCCCAGGACACAAACACCCUGCGCCACAGCAGCCCUUCCCCAUCCAGUCUCAAUAGCCAUGCCUCUGGGGCCAUUUCCAAAUCCUCAAUCCGCUGCAACCCAUUUCCCAGCCGACAAGCAACGGGGUAUGUUGGGGACAACUUGACCCAUAUGAGGAACCCAUCCCCCAAGCCAGUGGAACCCAUCUCCCAGACCCAAUCUUGCAGUGAGGUCUUCUUCAUAACAGACGCAGAUGUGCUCAGUUAUGCCCUGUGCGUCAGGAAAAAGGACAUUGAUUCCAUUCUUGUAGGCCACACAACUCAAAUGGAUGUUAAGCCAGCUGACAGUUCAGACCUCCGCUAUGUUUUCCUUAAAGGGAAGAGUCCAGAGAGGGUUAUGGAAAAGCUGCAAGUUUUUCUCACCAAGCUUCAUUUAAGACUACGAACUCAAGAAAUCCCACUAUGGACACUCGAUCGCGACCGACAGGUUAGAAUUCAUGAACUGGUUCAGAAGUAUAAUAUAAUUUAUCCCACUGUCCUCGUCAAUCAGGUUGGAGAUCUCCUCCGCCUUGUAGGACCUUCCAAGGAAAGUUAUGAGAUGAAGCAGAGGCUCCUGGGAAAACCCAUACACCUGCUACCAGCUGGGCUAACAGGGAGGGUACUGGACAGGAGUGCCCAUAGUGCUCCUGGCCCAGUACCUGACCCUGUGUCUGCUACUGCACCAGAUUACUAGUAAAUUAACUACAUUUUGCAGUAGCUUGGUGGUAGUGGAGCUAAAUUCAAAUCUAGAUAGUGUUUGCAGUAGUUCAUUACUUGUUGUCAUGUAGCAGUGUAGCUAACUACUGGAACUACAUAUUACGUUUUAGCCAUGUAGUGGUGUAGCUAACUACUGGAACUACAUAUUACGUUUUAGCCAUGUAGCGGUGUAGCUAACUACUGGAACUACACACUACAUUUUAGCCACGUAGCGGGGUAGCUAACUACUGGAACUACACACUACAUUUUAGCCGUGUAGCGGUGUAGCUAACUACAGGAACUACACACUACAUUUUAGCUGUGUAGCUAACUACUGGAACUACACACUACAUUUUUGGCUAAAAUAAAAUGAGUGAAGUAGGCCAUCAUUUCCAUUUUUUGGCAUCAGACCAACCUGUUUCUCACUUGAAACAUAGUUUUUGUGUUUAGGCUAAAUUACACAUUCUGUUAAUAUAUGACCCCAAAGUGAUCUCUUGCAAUUUGUAGUCUGACAUUUCAGAUUUAGAUAUGAUACUUUUUCAAAAAGUAGUUUGGAUGUAGUGAACUACUUUUUCAAAAUAACUUUAAGUAAACAAUUUUUCUUAACUUCUUCCAGUGUGAGGUAAUUGGUAGCUUGCUAAACUAUCUUAUCUGAGUAGCUUUCCCAACACAGCAAAAUACCAGGGUGAGCCUGGCUCUCGUUCAUCCCAGGCAAAGCUAUUCUCUGUCCUGGCACCCAAAUGGUGGAACAAGCUUCCAGUUCUCCCUAAAAAUCAGGACAGCUGAGUCACAGCCCAUCUUCCGAAAACAUCUGAAAAGCCACCUCUUCAGUAUCUUUAACACCCUUGUUGACACCUACCACUACUCUUUUCUUACUCGCUUUGAUCAUUCAUUGAGGAAAAAUGUACUGACUAUGACUGUGUCAUGUGGUUGUCUCACCUAGCGAUCUUAAGAUAGAUGCACAAACUGUGCAGUGACUCUGGAUAAGAGCGUCUGCUGAAUGACAAAAAUGUCAUGUUUAAUGAACAUGGAAGGGUUGUACAAGGGGCUACAGUAGGCGCUGUGCCCUCUACACCCACUCCCAUUCACAGGGGAAGAAGUCACUCUGAUUCCCCGGCGAAAAUAAAAGAGCUUAGAGUUACACGGGAGGUCUUGAGGCAUGUAAGGUCAGAUGAUGUGGUGGUGCCCUCUGCUGGAACUCAAAUGCCAGUGGUGAAAAAGAAGUUCCAAAAUGUCCUACUAACAAUAGAAUGGAAGAAUGUGCUUUCAAUCAAGAAAAAGCCCUAGCAGGUUACUAGUUAGAUACAGACACCUGUAAUGAAAGUGGCUUGGCCUGUUUAUUUCUUGAAUGUCUUUAAUUUCAUAAUAUGAUGUGGGGUAAAAUGUUCAAUUCACAUGUAUACACAUUUUGUUUUGUAAGAUUUUUUUCUUCUUGGACAAAUUCAUUUCUGUAUUUUCUAAUAUUUUCUUUCUCAUGAUAUGAAUCUAUUCUAAAUGUGGUUUAUUUUUGUUUUGAGCGAUUGAGGGCAAUAAAAAUAUAUUAUAUUUGUGUUAAUUGAUCCUUUAAAUAUAUGCUGAUGCAAAGGCUGGUAACUAUACUCUAGGAGUGGACUUUGUUAAUCUACCGUAUCUGUUUUGAUUAUGUGGAGCAAUUAUUUAGAGAUGAUCUCAUCUUGUUUGUGUGGAAACUGUUCCUGAAAUGUGGUCACUUCAACUCCUCACACACACACACACACACACACACACACACACACACACACACACACACACACACACACACACACAAGACUAAAAUCAACACAUCAUGCUCUAGUUUGACAAUUUCUUUCGACUUGUCAUUGUCUCCACGUUUCUCGUCAGUCUGUUGCUAAUGGCAGUCUGUUGCUAAUGGCAGUCUGUUGCUAAUGGCAGUCUGGGUCCAUGCGUUUGCCUUAGUAUCUGCCUUAGUACUGUGCUUGUUCUUGUCAGACUGAUUCUGAGUGUUAACUUCUGGACCGGGAGUUUUGUGAAUGGUGAUGGACCCAGAAGCAGAUGAGAGAGGAAGUGCUCACCAGCCUGCCCUCUGCGUCCCUUCCUGUGCAGGAAGUGAGGCGGCCCCACGCAGUCGACAUGACACACAAAGCACACUGAAAGAGAGAGGAAGUAGUGAUCAGAGUUGAGCAGGUUAGGAG
rnacentral:lncRNA from 1 species